rnacentral:rRNA from 2 species
GCCUGUGAGGGUUGCUGGAGGUAUCAGAAGUGCGAAUGCUGACAUAAGUAACGAUAAAGCGGGUGAAAAGCCCGCUCGCCGGAAGACCAAGGGUUCCUGUCCAACGUUAAUCGGGGCAGGGUGAGUCGACCCCUAAGGCGAGGCCGAAAGGCGUAGUCGAUGGGAAACGGGUUAAUAUUCCCGUACUUGGUGUUACUGCGAAGGGGGGACGGAGAAGGCUAUGUUGGCCGGGCGACGGUUGUCCCGGUUUAAGCGUGUAGGUGUGUGUUCCAGGUAAAUCCGGUUCACUUUAACACUGAGGCGUGAC